rnacentral:rRNA from 1 species
UACGUAGGGUGCGAGCGUUGUCCGGAAUUACUGGGCGUAAAGAGCUCGUAGGCGGUUUGUCACGUCGAUCGUGAAAACCGGCAGCUUAACUGCCGGCCUGCGGUCGAUACGGGCAGACUUGAGUACUGCAGGGGAGACUGGAAUUCCUGGUGUAGCGGUGAAAUGCGCAGAUAUCAGGAGGAACACCGGUGGCGAAGGCGGGUCUCUGGGCAGUAACUGACACUGAGGAGCGAAAGCGUGGGGAGCGAACAGG